CAGAACUCUGCAUUUUGAAGAAGCUUUGGAAGUUGAGGCUUGAACUUGGCCUUUAAGAACAAGCUUCAGGCACGUCUCAGCAUGCCUCCCUCUCAUGGAAGUUCCCAGGAAGCCCACCAUGUACGUGUCUGUACGUGUCUGUAGAAGAGGAGGAAAUUUUUUUCCGGGAGCCGGCUGAUUACACAAAGAACAAAGGUAUUUCUAUGUUUGGUUUUGCUCCCUUAUCUGUGCAGCUGCAGCUUGAUUUUUCAGGCUGUUUCUAUGUUUAAAAGAAUUCUACCAAGAAC
rnacentral:lncRNA from 10 species